AACGAACGCUGGCGGCAGGCCUAACACAUGCAAGUCGAACGCCGUAGCAAUACGGAGUGGCAGACGGGUGAGUAACGCGUGGGAACAUACCCUUCGGUUCGGAAUAACUCAGGGAAACUUGAGCUAAUACCGGAUACGUCCGAGGUCAAACUUGGAGAAAGAUUUAUCGCCGGAGGAUUGGCCCGCGUCUGAUUAGCUUGUUGGUGAGGUAAUGGCUCA
rnacentral:rRNA from 1 species